ACUCACAGACACUUAGGAGUUGGAAAAACAUGUGCAAACUCUACCUGAGCGAGCAGCGCCGAGACGCAGAUCAAGGCUCAAGACGCAGAAGAGCGCGCAUUGCAGCAUCCGUGGCCAUGGAGAGCAGGCGAGAUUAGUAGGAAUAACUGCCCCUGAAGUCAUUCUCCCAGGGGAACAAGGCACCAUGAUUUUAAGGCAACACAAAGUGAUCUGCCUUGGUGGACAGAUGUUCCUCGAGUGAGAGCAACUACACUGCCCAGAGCCUUUGGAGGACUGCGGUGAGCAAUUGUCUAACUCACUCCAGCUGUAGCCUGUUCCCCCUGGUGGGCCAGCCAACUCCAGUGAAAACCGCCACGCCACGCCACUCCACUCAAGCGUGUGGGCGGGGAUGGGACCUGAGUUAGGGGCAACACUUGACUUAAUCCUGCAGCCAAGACCAACCCUAAGGGGGUUGUGCCCCCUUGUAACUACAGAGCAUCCUCCGAUGCUGCUCAACUUGUGGAAGAGGGAUAGUUCUGGAGUCCACCCUCGUGGAGGGAAAUAAGGGAAAACCACAUGGAAUAUGGGGGACCAGGCUUUGUUUGAAGGGACAGUUUAGGGAAACACCAUUGCACGUAGCCCAUCAUGGAUUUCGUCUCUCAUGUACAAUGCAAUGAUCAUAAGCUUCAAGUUAACGUUUAAAA